rnacentral:tRNA from 1 species
UAAACAAAAUGUAGCUUAAUUAAAGCACUUCGCUUACACCGAACCCAUGUCUACUCAACAGACCAUUUUGA